rnacentral:rRNA from 1 species
AAGCUCGUAGUUGAAUUUCGGGACCAAUUUGUUGGUCGUGCCUCGGUACGUACUGGUAUUAUUGGUUUCUCCCUUCUGAAGAACCUUGAUGUCAUUAAUUUGGUGUCUUGGGGAAUCAGGACUGUUACUUUGAAAAAAUUAGAGUGUUUAAAGCAGGCAUACGCUUGAAUACAUUAGCAUGGAAUAAUGAAAUAGGACGUUUGAUUCUAUUUUGUUGGUUUCUAGGAUCGACGUAAUGAUUAAUAGGGAUAGUUGGGGGCAUUAGUAUUCAAUUGUCAGAGGUGAAAUUCUUGGAUUUAUUGAAGACUAACUACUGCGAAAGCAUUUGCCAAGGAUGUUUUCAUUAAUCAAGAACGAAAGUUAGGGGAUCGAAGACGAUCAGAUACCGUCGUAGUCUUAACCAUAAACUAUGCCGACUAGGGAUCGGAUGAUGUCAAUUUUUUAAUGACUCAUUCGGCGCCUUACGGGAAACCAAAGUGUUUGGGUUCCGGGGGGAGUAUGGUCGCAAGGCUGAAACUUAAAGGAAUUGACGGAAGGGCACCACCAGGGGUGGAGCCUGCGGCUUAAUUUGACUCAACACGGGGAAA